CCAAGUGAGGGCUCGAUCUAUGAAGGUGCAAGCAGCGAACUUAACCUUGCUUGUUUCUUGNCCUACUCUGGCCCUGUGCCUCCUUAGAUGGAUUGGCGGUAGCUGCAAUGGUACCCUGUUUUACGCCGUGGUCGAUGAGUCGCAGAGCCAGGCGUUUAGCGCUGUUGUAGGUAAUAGGGUUGGAAGCUAGGACAUGCCCAUAAAUCUGGGGUGACAACCCCCAAAUGUACCUUUCAACUUUCUUUGAUUCUGGGUUGACCAUGGUAGGGCACAAUGCAGCGAGGUCGUUGAACCUAGCUGUGUAGGCGACUAGAUCAGACCCAGUCAUCUUCAGAUUCCAGAGCUCUUGCUCAAGCUUUUGCACUUCGCCCCUUGGGCAGUAUUCUUCCAGUAGUAGAACCUUCAGAUCCUCCCAACUCAUGGCGUUGGCGACAGUGAGAGUCACAGAAUUCACAUGGCUUUUCCACCAAGUGAGGGCUCGAUCUAUGAAGGUGCAAGCAGCGAACUUAACCUUGCUUGUUUCUUGGCACGAGCAGAUCUCGAAGACUGUUUCGGUCUUUUUGAACCAUUGCAUUAGUGCAAUGACUCCUCCAAUGCCAUUAAAAGUCUUUGGCUUUGAGUUGGAGAACUCCUUGUAAGUACAUUCUCUUACUUGACCAUGACCAGUGCCACGAUUGGAAUGAUUCGUGCUGCUUCCUGUACCUCCAUUUCCAUUGGAGUUUAUUUGCGAGAGAGCUGCUGUUACUGCUGCUGUGAUAGCAGCCUGGACCAUGGCCGGAUCAUACGUUGGUGGUGGAGGUGGUGGUGGUGUCGUGCCCGGUCUGGGCCUUAGGUUUGGAC
rnacentral:lncRNA from 1 species